UAUGAGUGUUGUUAACCACACGAU
rnacentral:siRNA from 1 species